rnacentral:rRNA from 1 species
AAACUUAAAGGAAUUGACGGAAAGGCACCACCAGGCGUGGAGCUUGCGGCUCAAUUUGACUCAACACGGGAAAUCUCACCAGGCCCGGACACUGGAAGGAUUGACAGAUUGAGAGCUCUUUCUCGAUUCGGUGGGUGGUGGUGCAUGGCCGUUCUUAGUUGGUGGAGUGAUUUGUCUGGUUAAUUCCGAUAAAGAACGAGACUCUGUCCUGCUAAAUAGUGUCGGCCUCUCUUUUGGGCCGACAAUUCUUCUUAGAGGGACUGGCAGCUCCUAGCUGCACGAGAUAGAGCAAUAACAGGUCUGUGAUGCCCUUAG